UCUUAAUUUGUUGUUAAAAAGCAAAAAAUAUGUUUGAUAAAAUGUAUAUACAGUAAAACUUGUUAAGUACGGACACAGAUAUUGCAAGUUCACGGAUAAAACGAAUUCAUUUUGGAUCCCCAGCUGUUUAGAUUUAAUGACUUUCUCAUGGUAUACGGUUAUAACGAAUUACGGAUAUAGGAAAGUAAUUUCACAUGUCCUGGUGACUUUGUGUUUAGUGUCAUUAAAUCCAGAAGACCAGCACUUCUAGGGCAUUGAGGUUGAUAUAGCAAGUUACCAGUUUUUAUGUGAUUCUCUUCCCAACCACCAUGACAAAAAGUGUGAUAGACCACUGGAUUGGAAAAUACAUGUAUUUUUCCAGUUGAAUAAAUUAAUUAGAAAUGCAGAAAAUUGGGCAAAAUUUAGAUAUCAUCCAAUCCAGACCCAAGAGAGUUAAUGGCUAUCGGUUUGCAGAUAUUUAAACAAGUGGCAACAAAUACUGGAAGUAGAGGAAGGCUCACUGCAGAAAUUAUGGGUAAUGACUAAUCUCAACAUGACAUCAUAUUCAGUAAUUCAACACACAGGAUUUCGGCCAUAAAAGUUUGGACUUGAUGAACAAGUACAUGUCUAAAGGGGAGCCUGAAAUAUAGUUUUUCGAAUUUUAAAGACUUUGUACUCAAAAGAGUUAAUUUGGAUGUGAAAGUGACAAGAGGAUUUUGUUUGUAAACAACUAGAGAGGAAAACUUUCUGUGUCCAGGUCCUGGUUUGUCCUAGGAUGUGGAAGUGAAACAUAUGAUUCAAUGAACUACACAAUUGUUAAUCAUGUGUCAUCUCUGUGGUAGACAGUAAAUUUCUCCAACAUAGAACAAUAUUUUAGAAAUGUACCUCUGCAGAAUUUGAUAUGACUGCAUGUCCAUUUCUUUUUAACCUGAGUUAUGCAUGAAUAAACAAUACUAAUGUUUAGAUAUUUUCUUACUUACAGUAAUAUAACUUAUUCAGUUGAUUUGUAUUUUUAAAGCAAUAUUAGCUGCAACUUUGAUAUAAUUAUCAGAAACUUUUGCUGCAUCUAAUUAUUAAACUAUUUUGAUAACAGAAAAGAAGAGCAUUUAUAAAUUUCUAUUGUUCAUGGACAUGAUGGAAGAACUAUUGAUAAGCUUUGAUUGAACCAAACACACAUUAUGUCCUGUAAUAUUGAUUUCUUAUAUAAUACAUGUACUACAUAUUGGGUUGUACAGAAGUCUUUAAUUAUUUUUGCAUAAUGUAAUGUAUCAUUUUAGUAUAUUUGAUCAUUAUUUAAAGGUUUACUUAUACAUACAAAUAAAUCAUUAUGACUCUUUCUUUCACAGCAAAAUAAGAAUUCUAAAAAAUGCAGCGCAUAUGGGUACAGUCCACUAAUUUUUUUCCCAUAGGCGACAAUGUUAACGUUUCUUCUCAUAGCGAUGUCCCUAAUUUUCAUUCGGUAGUGAAUGACCCCUCAAAUCAAAGCACAUCAACUUGUCUUUCCUUGGUUAAAAUCUCGAGGUGGCAUGUCAGAUUUGUUUUUCGGCAAAAUGCGUCCGUCUGCGGGAACCUCUAAAAAUGAAAGUGAAAGAAGCCUAAGUAGGGGGAUUUCAGAAAUCACACUGGCGGUAUAAUACACAAUAUAAUUCGGCUGAUCUUCUUGAUCAAUUACAUUUUCAAAGCUUUUUUGGUAGGAAAGAUACUCCUUAUCACCAAGUGUAAGGCUCAGUUAAGUACACCUGCCCAAUUUUUUUUUAUGCAAGUGUGCAAUUUAAGGAACUUCUAAUUUUUUCUGCACUACUUUCUUCUCCUACUGAUUUUAAAAAUAAUUAGUGGGAUGUACCCAUAUUGCUCUAAUUUGAAUAAAUAUUGCACAGUAUCAUCUGAUUAUAAAUUUUUAAUAUUGGCACACCAGAGCUGAAAUUUCAUAUGAGCAUUUCUGAUCAUCCAUUGUCUGUAUGUAAACUUUUCACAUUUUUAACUUCUUCUCAAGACCCACUGUGCCAAUUUUAACUGAAGUUGCUACAAAGCUUUGGGGGAAGGGGAGUAUAUUAUACAAAGGAUUGAGUAAAGGAGAGUAAAGUGUUUCAACUCCAAGGGGAGAUAAUUUUUAGGCAGGUAACUCAUUUCAAUGAGCUAUCAAAGCUGUUGAUUUGGAGUGGCAUAGGUUAAAUUAAGUACACUUUUCUCAGCUUACUUUGUAUAGUAUUUAUAUAUUAAUUGAAAACUACUAAUAUGUUUAUUUAUAAUACUAGUAUAUAUUGUAAAAUUAUCUGUUAAAAGAGCGAAACAAAUUUCUUUCUUAAUGUAAGUUGCAACUGCCAAUUCCUGAAAAAUAAUGGAGCGCUUAAACAAAAUGAUGUCGCAGGUGGAUUUUACCAUAGAAUCACAGCUUUUAAGUGUGCAGUGUAGAGAGGGCUCUUAAAAUAUUCCAAAUUAUCUAAAUCAUGACCGCAGGGGGUUAGGUGGGGUCACAAUAGGUAACAAGUAGGAAAUCUGGUUAACAACAGAAUGGCCAAAUGUUUUUUUUAUUCAGUGAUCCAAAGAAAGGCCCAAGUUUGAAUUACCUGGCCCACCGGCCUAAUAUUAUUAUUAACAAAUGUGAGUUCUAACCUUGAAAUUAAUUAGCAUUAACCUUUAAAGAUGUAUUGUCAUUAUUGAAUUGAUAACACUGACCUACACAAGGACUUGAAUGCGUAUCUGCAUUCAUUUGUAAUUUGAAACAGUCUGAUGUGUUAAAAGGGCAACAACUCUUUCUGUAACAUAUUAUAUAUAAAUGUGUGUGUGUAUAUAUGUAUGUAUAUAUAUAUAUAUGUAUGUAAAUAUGUGUGUGUGUGUGUGUGUGUGUAUAUGUAUGUAUAUAUAUGUAUGUAAAUAUGUGUGUAUGUGUAUAUUUUUGGUAUAUCUCCAGCUUUUUAGGUCACCUGAGCCAAAGGCUCGAGUGAGAUUUUCUGAUCACAUUUUGUCCGUGUCCAUCUGUCCAGCUGCCUGUCUGUAAUUUACUGUUCACAUUAUCAACUUCUUCUCAAGAAGCACUGGGCCAAUUUUGACCAAACUUGGUAUAAAGCAUUCUUGGGUGAAGGAAAAUUUAAAUUGUAAAAAUGAAGGGCCAAGUCUCGACACAAGGGGAGAUAAUCAUGUAAAGACAAAAAUAGGGUGGGGUCAUUAAAAACUGAAAUCUUUUUCUAAAGAUCCACUUGGCCAGAAACACUGAAACUUAUGUGGAAGCAUUGUGGGGUACUGUAAAUUUUAAAUGUUUAAUUCAUGAUCCCCAGGGGUAGAGCAGAGCCACAAUUGGGAAUCUAACUUUUACAGGUACAUAGAAAUAUACAUAGGAAUAAUCAUAAAAAAUCUUCUGAUGAAGAUCCACUGAAAAGCUGAAACUUUUUUGGAAGCAUCCUGAGGUAGUGUACUAGAUUAUAAAUUGUUCAAAUCAUGACCCAGGGGUAGGGUGGUGCCACAUUAGGAAAUCAAAGUCUUACAUAGAUUUAUGAAGGAAAAAUCUUCUUCUAUAGAAGCACUGGGCCAGAGCUGAAAAUCAAGUGGAACAAUUCUGGGGUAAUGUGGAUUCUAAAUUGUUCAGGUUGUGACCCCUAGGGGUAGGGUGUGGCCACAAUAGGGAAUCAAAAUUAUACAAAGAAAUAUAUAGGAAAUAUUUUUAAAGUCUUUUUAUCACGAACCACUGGGCCAAAAAAGCUUAAAUUUAGGUGAAAGCAUUGUGGGGUAGUUUAGAUUUAGAAUUGUUAUUAUAAGAUCUUUGAAAUCUGUCAGUAGGUAAGGUACGUUGUAUAUGUCCUUAAUGUCAAGUAGAUUGAUGUGUUUUUUAAUGCAGUUUUCUGAUAUACAUGUACAUAUAAAUCUUUUGUUGUUGUUGUUUAAUUCUAUCAAAAAAAUUUGUGAAACAAACUAUAACUAUAUUCAUAGAAUAAACUGAAAA